UACAGAGGUGCCAAGCGUUAGGCGGAAUCACUGGGCUUAAAGCGCGUGUAGGUGGACGGGUAAGUAUCUUGUGAAAUCCCACGGCUCAACCGUGGAACUGCUGGAUAUACUGCUUGUCUUGAGGCACUUAGGGGCAGCUGGAACAAAUGGUGGAGCGGUGAAAUGCGUAGAUAUCAGGAGGAACACCGGUGGCGAAGGCGGGUCUCUGGGCCGAUACUGACGCUGAGGAGCGAAAGCGUGGGGAGCGAACAGG
rnacentral:rRNA from 1 species